UUAAAAAGGAGCUCUGAAAGCACAUGCGAGAUGUUGGUGGAGAUGCUACAGUUUGCCUUGGAGAGCUAGGAGUGAGAGGGAUAGGCUGCUUGGAGAUAAUACUGAGGAAUGGUGUUUGGGUGUGGAAGAUAAGAAAGUGGUCUGGGAGAAGGGUUGUUAAAGAAUGGAGCAAAAAGAGUCAUUAGUCCAUUUGGAAGAAGACAGCUUCUGGAGGUGCCCAACUACCAAUACAGUUUCAGAGUCUGCCAGUCCAUAAGGAACAUGCUCUUCUGAAAUUUGUGCUAGAGGUCUACUGUCAGCAAACAUGAACUUGUCCCGUUCACAUUUCCCCAUAGCUUUAAAAAGAAUUCUGUUGAGAAUCCAGUGGGAAAGUGGUAAAUUUGAAAGCUUCUGAAGAGUGCAUCGUAGCUCAGAAUGUGCAAAGCUCCAACACUGGCAAACUGUGGGGUAAUGCCCCAUGUUUCCUCAGUUCCCUUGCUGAAACAUGAGCUCUGUCAGGAAAUAGGCACUUAUUUGAACUGCAGCAAAGCACCACUCAAUAAAGAUCAUUCUGAGCUAGUUUUGGAAUCUUCUCUGAUCUGAGAUGAUGCCAUAAGAUAUUCUCUGGCAGCUACACAUGCAACAAACUUCCUUACCAAAUCAGCCAUCGACUCAGGACUUCAAAUUGUAAGCCACAGAGGGUGAACCUGUUGACCACUUAAUGGCACUUAAUCACUGUGAAAAUGUGAUGUUCAGAACAGAGUAAUGAUAUCAAGAAAACUUGAUAGUACCAGUUUCGUAUGACAUGAAAUAGACGUUUAUAUGACAUAAAUAGAAUAACUUAUAGAAAAACAGCAAAAAGAAGACCAAACUGAUACUUAAUGAGUUAUCCAUUAAUUUUUUUGAGGAGAAAAAUAAAACAGUUAAUGAGAAUUGUGUCUACAGUAUAAUGUGCUUUUCAGUCUGUAAAGCAUAGCUUCCUUUAAAGAAUAAUAGUUACUUUUGUAUUUCCCUGGGUUGUACUCUGGUCUUGCUGCUUUUUUGUGAAUAUGAGGAAUAUCAAAGUGUUGAUCUUCAGAAUAAGGAGAGUAGAGUCUGAAU